UGUUUCGGCAAGGGGGUCAUCCCGACUUACCAACCCGAUGCAAACUGCGAAUACCGGAGAAUGUUAUCACGGGAGACACACGGCGGGUGCUAACGUCCGUCGUGAAGAGGGAAACAACCCAGACCGCCAGCUAAGGUCCCAAAGUCAUGGUUAAGUGGGAAACGAUGUGGGAAGGCCCAGACAGCCAGGAUGUUGGCUUAGAAGCAGCCAUCAUUUAAAGAAAGCGUAAUAGCUCACUGGUCGAGUCGGCCUGCGCGGAAGAUGUAACGGGGCUAAACCAUGCACCGAAGCUGCGGCAGCGACGCUUAUGCGUUGUUGGGUAGGGGAGCGUUCUGUAAGCCUGCGAAGGUGUACUGUGAGGUAUGCUGGAGGUAUCAGAAGUGCGAAUGCUGACAUAAGUAACGAUAAAGCGGGUGAAAAGCCCGCUCGCCGGAAGACCAAGGGUUCCUGUCCAACGUUAAUCGGGGCAGGGUGAGUCGACCCCUAAGGCGAGGCCGAAAGGCGUAGUCGAUGGGAAACAGGUUAAUAUUCCUGUACUUGGUGUUACUGCGAAGGGGGGACGGAGAAGGCUAUGUUGGCCGGGC
rnacentral:rRNA from 1 species